UCCCAAGGCACGCGCCGCAAAAGAUGGCAACCUAGGGUUUCUAAGGGUGUCGAAAUCUCCUGCGAAGAAAACGAGAUUCCUCUAUCGUUUCUAGAUCCAGAAAAUAACGAUCCGUUUCAAAACCGUGGGAGGAGAAGCAUAAUGAGGAGGAGUUAGAUCGGCUCAGUUCUCUCCUACACGUCAGGGUACACAUUAAAACAUUAUGCACGAGGAAUACUUGGAAGCUUGCGGUCUUGUUGCAAAUGUCGAUCAAAAUUCUAGGGGCUAAAAUAUGGAGAGGUAGACCCCCAGAUUUUAUUGGUGGCACCCUUCAAUUGGAUGCAUAUUUAAAGCUCAGAGUCCGAUCCCUAUGCACCAAUUUUUCAAGAAGCAAGAAUUUGCAGAUUGUCAAGCAUUCCAAAGUCUUGGCUGUGCCCCUUUUAUGUCAUGUAAAGGAGGGAUUUAGGAAGAGGUCAAUGGGACAUGAUCACAGACCCAGUUAUUGUUGGGAAGGUUUCUGGAGUCGUUCUGUUGUGCAGAUGCUUACUUGAUGCAUCCAACUUGUCAAAGCGCAUGAGACUAAUGUUUGUGGUGUGCAUUGCAGUUAUCAGCAUGUAUCUUAGUGCUUGUGUGGCAAGGAAUACCACAUCGGAUGCUUAAAAGUACAGCAUGGAUGAUUCAAAGGUUUCAAAUUAUAAAAGUAUGUAGUGG